AGAUUGAACGCUGGCGGCAUGCCUUACACAUGCAAGUCGAACGGCAGCACGGGAGCAAUCCUGGUGGCGAGUGGCGAACGGGUGAGUAAUACAUCGGAACGUGCCCAGUAAUGGGGGAUAGCCCGGCGAAAGCCGGAUUAAUACCGCAUACGACCUAUGGGUGAAAGCGGGGGAUCGCAAGACCUCGCGUUGUUGGAGCGGCCGAUGUCAGAUUAGCUUGUUGGUGGGUAAAAGCCCACCAAGGCGACGAUCUGUAGCUGGUCUGAGAGGACGACCAGCCACACUGGGACUGAGACACGGCCCAGACUCCUACGGAGGCAGCAGUGGGAAUUUUGGACAAUGGGCGCAAGCCUGACUCCAGCCAUGCCGCGUGUGGGAAGAAGGCCUUCGGUUAGUAAACCGUACUUUGUCAGGAAGAAACGGACCGUAAGAUUAAAUACUACUAGACUAAUAGACGGUACCGU
rnacentral:rRNA from 1 species